rnacentral:rRNA from 1 species
UGUAAGCGUAUACCAAAGUUGUUGCAGUUAGAACGCUCGUAGUCGGAAUUUGGCAGUUCCAGAUGUGUGCACGUCGUGUGCGCACUUCGCGGGGAUUGCUUUUGUGGUCUUGCGUAGGAUGAGGCACUUUUAUUAGUGAACGUCCUCACGCAACCACUUUUUACAGUGAGAAAAUCAGAGUGCUCAAAGCAGGCAUUUGCCGUGAAUGUAUUAGCAUGGAAUAAUAGAAUAGGACUUGGUUCUAUUUUGUUGGUUUGUUGGGACUGAGUAAUGAUUAAGAGGGACAGUUGGGGGCAUUUGUAUUUCGGUGCUAGAGGUGAAAUUCUUAGAUUACCGAAAGACAAACUGCUGCGAAAGCGUCUGCCAAGGAUGUUUUCAUUGA